rnacentral:misc_RNA from 1 species
GAUGAAGAACGCAUCGAAAUGCGAUAAGUAGUGUGAAUUGCAGAAUUCCGUGAAUCAUCGAAUCUUUGAACGCACAUUGCGCCUUCUGGUAUUCCGGAAGGCAUGCCUGUUCGAGAGUCAUUAACAACCGUUUCGAUCCCUUUCUUUCAGAAAUUACAAAGAGGAAAAGGGUUUGGUUAUGGUGGAGGAGGGAAAGGGAGCGUUUAGCCUGUAAAAAAAGAGGCUGUGUUCCGCCUCCCCCCCAAAAUUGUACAGGCGGUCGUGUGCGCCCACGCAUCGAGGUGUUGUAAAAGCUGCCACGGCACUUUUCACCUGUGCAGUGCGAGAUUGGCCAGCCGGUUUAAAAACCCCUCCAAACAAUCAAAGGUUGACCUCGGAUCAGGUAGGGAUACCCGCUGAACUUAAGCAUAUCAAUAAGCGGAGGA